rnacentral:rRNA from 1 species
GCAGCCUUCUGGGGCACGAUUGACGCUGAGGCUCGAAAGCGCGGGAAUCAAACAGGAUUAGAUACCCUGGUAGUCCGCGCCGUAAACGAUGAGUGCCCGUCCUUGGCGACAGACGGUCAGGGACCAAGCGAAAGCAUUAAGCACUCCACCUGGGGAGUACGCCGGCAACGGUGAAACUCAAAGGAAUUGACGGGGGCCCGCACAAGCGGAGGAACAUGUGGUUUAAUUCGAUGAUACGCGAGGAACCUUACCCGGGCUUGAACUGCAGGAGAAGGCGGCAGAGAUGCCAACGUCCUUCGGGACUCCUGUGGAGGUGCUGCAUGGUUGUCGUCAGCUCGUGCCGUGAGGUGUCGGCUUAAGUGCCAUAACGAGCGCAACCCCUGCUGUCAGUUGCCAUCGGGUGAUGCCGGGCACUCUGUCAGGACUGCCACCGUAAGGUGUGAGGAAGGUGGGGAUGACGUCAAAUCAGCACGGCCCUUACGUCCGGGGCUACACACGUGUUACAAUGGGUGGUACAGACAGGCGGUGUGUACAAGGGUGCACUAACGUCAUUAAAGCCAUACUCAGUACGCGCGAGGGUCUGCAACCCGAGCCCAGAAG